rnacentral:rRNA from 1 species
ACGCUCGACACCUACGAGGCAGCAGUAGGGAAUCUUCCACAAUGGGCGCAAGCCUGAUGGAGCAACACCGCGUGAGUGAAGAAGGGUUUCGGCUCGUAAAGCUCUGUUGUUGGAGAAGAACGUGCGUGAGAGUAACUGUUCACGCAGUGACGGUAUCCAACCAGAAAGUCACGGCUAACUACGUGCUAGCAGCCGCGGUAAUCUGAGCGGGCUGGCAAGGC